CUCAUACACAAAAAAAAAAAUAAAAUAAUUUACUCCUUUUAAAAAUAUACUACAAGUAACUGGGUCAUUUGUUUUUCUCUUUAGGUGACAAAUUUAAAUGUGUGGUUUAGUUUGAUCAAUAACCUCAAUGUUUUUCCUUCAUCUUAUUUCAUACCGAGUCUCUCCUGGUCUAAAUGAUGUUUUUUAGUUUGUCUCUUCCUGUCGAUCCCUACAAGAUGGUCUACUUUGUAUUCUGUAUAGCGUGUCCCCCGUCCGGCUGUAUAUAAGCUUGGAUUUAUCGCUCCGAGUUCAGUGGUUGAUGCUUUUUGUAACUUAGCUGUAAGCCAUGAUUUUAUUGCCAUGUAUUUUUACUCGGCAGUGUAGGCAAUUAAAAGAAAACCCUACAUGCUAUUUAUUGUAGAGUAUGUGGAAAUCAUGUAUGUAUAUACACUUAAAUAUGUGUACAUAUACAGAAUAUAUGUGUACACGUAUUUGUAUGUAAAUAAAGAGAGUUUACUAAAUCUGGCA